rnacentral:ncRNA from 1 species
UUCUUUGGGGCGGGGCGUAAAUCCCCACCGGCAGUAAAAGUCUGCGAACCUUAUUUUAAGGCCGACAAGGUGAAAUUCCUUGACCGACGGUAUAGUCCGGAUGAGAAAAGAG